GACACCCUGUUGAUUAGAUUCUUUGGUUAGAAGGAGAAAUUAUCCUUCCGAUCACUGUAGGUCAGAAACCUCAUCAAGCCACCAUGCAACAACUUUCCUCGUCAUUCAGGUAUCUUCGACCUACAAUGCAAUACUAGAUUGAUCUAAAUUGAAUGCACUCCAAGCAAUCAUGUCGACUUACCAUCUUCUCAUCCAUUUCUUAAUGAAGAACAGAAUGGGAAAAAUGCGAGG
rnacentral:lncRNA from 1 species